rnacentral:rRNA from 1 species
CGGCGUGCUUAACACAUGCAAGUCGAACGGGAUCCAUUGGUGCUUGCACUUUUGGUGAGAGUGGCGAACGGGUGAGUAACACGUGAGUAACCUGCCCUUUUCUUUGGGAUAAGCCUGGGAAACUGGGUCUAAUACUGGAUGUUCCGGCUUCCUCGCAUGGGGUUGUUGGGAAAGGUUUUUUCUGGAUUGGGAUGGGCUCGCGGCUUAUCAGCUUGUUGGUGGGGUGAUGGCUUACCAAGGCUUUGACGGGUAGCCGGCCUGAGAGGGUGGUCGGUCACACUGGGACUGAGAUACGGCCCAGACUCCUACGGGAGGCAGCAGUGGGGGAUAUUGCACAAUGGACGCAAGUCUGAUGCAGCGACGUCGUGUGGGGGAUGAAGGCCUUCGGGUUGUAAACUCCUUUCGCCUGCGGAAAAGGCAGGGUUU